GACGAACGCUGGCGGCGUGCUUAACACAUGCAAGUCGAACGAAAAGAGGGAAAGAGCUUGCUCUUUCCGGAAUUGAGUGGCAAACGGGUGAGUAACACGUAAACAACCUGCCUUCAGGAUGGGGACAACAGACGGAAACGACUGCUAAUACCGAAUAAUUUCCAAGGGCCGCAUGGCCCAUGGAAGAAAAGGUGGCCUCUACCUGUAAGCUAUCGCCUGAAGAGGGGUUUGCGUCUGAUUAGCUGGUUGGCGGGGUAACGGCCCACCAAGGCGACGAUCAGUAGCCGGUCUGAGAGGAUGAACGGCCACACUGGAAUUGAGACACGGUCCAGACUCCUACGGGAGGCAGCAGUGGGGAAUCUUCCGCAAUGGGCGAAAGCCUGACGGAGCAACGCCGCGUGAGUGAUGACGGCCUUCGGGUUGUAAAACUCUGUGAUCCGGGACGAAAAGGCAGAGUGCGAAGAACAAACUGCAUGGACGGUACCGGAAAAGCAAGCCACGGCUAACUACGU
rnacentral:rRNA from 1 species